NCCGNUGACAGUUUGUUGGAAAAGAAAGGUGGCAAGCAAGGGA
rnacentral:rRNA from 1 species